rnacentral:rRNA from 1 species
GUAUUAAAAGUGCCUCAAAGCACUGGUAGAGGAUGGACUUAUGGCGCAUUAGCUGGUUGGCGGGGUAACGGCCCACCAAGGCGACGAUGCGUAGCCGACUGAGAGGGUGACCGGCCACACUGGGACUGAGACACGGCCCAGACUCCUACGGGAGGCAGCAGUAGGGAAUUCUCGGCAAUGGGGGAAACCCUGACCGAGCAACGCCGCGUGAAGGAAGAAGGUUUUCGGAUUGUAAACUUCUGUUAUAAAGGAAGAACGGCGGCUACAGGAAAAUGGUAGCCGAGUGACGGUACUUUAUUAGAAAGCCACGGCUAACUACGUGCCAGCAGCCGCGGUAAUACGUAGGUGGCAAGCGUUAUCCGGAAUUAUUGGGCGUAAAGAGGGAGCAGGCGGCAGCAAGGGUCUGUGGUGAAAGCCUGAAGCUUAACUUCAGUAAGCCAUAGAAACCAGGCAGCUAGAGUGCAGGAGAGGAUCGUGGAAUUCCAUGUGUAGCGGUGAAAUGCGUAGAUAUAUGGAGGAACACCAGUGGCGAAGGCGACGAUCUGGCCUGCAACUGACGCUCAGUCCCGAAAGCGUGGGGAGCAAAUAGGAUUAGAUACCCUAGUAGUCCACGCCGUAAACGAUGAGUA